rnacentral:rRNA from 1 species
AGCAAUACAGCAGUGGCAGACGGGUGAGUAACACGUGGGAACCUUCCUAGGGGUACGGAACAACUCAGGGAAACUUGAGCUAAUACCGUAUACGUCCGUGAGGAGAAAGAUUUAUCGCCCUUAGACGGGCCCGCGUAGGAUUAGGUAGUUGGUGGGGUAAUGGCCUACCAAGCCUACGAUCCUUAGCUGAUCUGAGAGGAUGAUCAGCCACACUGGGACUGAGACACGGCCCAGACUCCUACGGGAGGCAGCAGUGGGGAAUCUUGGACAAUGGGCGCAAGCCUGAUCCAGCCAUGCCGCGUGAGUGAAGAAGGCCUUCGGG